GCUGUGGAUAGGGGUGAAAGGCCAAUCAAACACCGUGAUAGCUGGUUCUCCCCGAAAUGCAUAUAGGUGCAGCGUCGUGCGUUUCUUGUCGGAGGUAGAGCACUGGAUGGUCUAGGGGGCCCACAAGCUUACCGAAAUCAGCCAAACUCCGAAUGCCGACAAGUGAGAGCACGGCAGUGAGACUGCGGGCGAUAAGGUUCGUAGUCGAAAGGGAAACAGCCCAGAUCAUCAGCUAAGGCCCCUAAGCGAUAACUAAGUGGAAAAGGAUGUGGAGUUGCGGAGACAACCAGGAGGUUGGCUUGGAAGCAGCCACCCUUGAAAGAGUGCGUAAUAGCUCACUGGUCAAGUGAUUCUGCGCCGACAAUUUAGCGGGGCUCAAGUUAUCCGCCGAAGCUAUGGCAUUCGCAUGUGUACCUGACUUCGGUCCAGGUGUGCGGAUGGGUAGGGGAGCGUCGGGUGUGCAAGGAAGCGGCGGGGUGACCCAGCCGUGGAGUGCACUCG
rnacentral:rRNA from 1 species